AGAGUUUGAUCCUGGCUCAGGAUGAACGCUGGCGGCGUGCUUAACACAUGCAAGUCGAACGAAGCAAUCUAACGGAAGUUUUCGGAUGGAAGCUAGAUUGACUGAGUGGCGGACGGGUGAGUAACGCGUGGGUAACCUGCCACACACUGGGGGACAACAGUUAGAAAUGACUGCUAAUACCGCAUAAGCGCACGGGACCGCAUGGUCCAGUGUGAAAAACUCCGGUGGUGUGAGAUGGACCCGCGUUUGAUUAGCUAGUUGAUGGGGUAACGGCCUACCAAGGSGACGAUCAAUAGCCGACCUGAGAGGGUGACCGGCCACAUUGGGACUGAGACACGGCCCAAACUCCUACGGGAGGCAGCAGUGGGGAAUAUUGCACAAUGGGGGAAACCCUGAUGCAGSGACGCCGCGKGAGUGAAGAAGUAUUUCGGUAUGUAAAGCUCUAUCAGCAGGGAAGAAAAUGACGGUACCUGACUAAGAAGCCCCGGCUAACUACGUGCCAGCAGCCGCGGUAAUAC
rnacentral:rRNA from 1 species